rnacentral:rRNA from 1 species
UACAGAGGUCUCAAGCGUUGUUCGGAAUUACUGGGCGUAAAGGGCUCGUAGGCGGCCAACUAAGUCCGACGUGAAAUCCCAAAGCUUAACUUUGGAACUGCGUCGGAUACUGGAUGGCUUGAAUUCGGGAGAGGGAUGCAGAAUUCCAGGUGUAGCGGUGAAAUGCGUAGAUAUCUGGAGGAACACCGGUGGCGAAGGCGGCAUUCUGGACCGAUAUUGACGCUGAGGAGCGAAAGCCAGGGGAGCAAACAGG